rnacentral:rRNA from 1 species
AUGUGCCCUGCAGGUUCGUUCAUGGGGAGGUGGAGGCGGGCCGGCGUGCUGGCUCUGGUGCUCCUGCUGCUCUCCGCUUGCCAUGGAAGACGAGAGUUCUCUGUCAAGAAUCACGGUCAGAGUCUUAUAUAUGAUCAUACUCUUGCUAAGACCAUCGUGGAGUAUGCUUCGGCUGUGUAUAUGACAGAUUUAACAGCUUUGUAUACAUGGACAUGCUCAAGAUGCAAUGACUUGACUCAAGACUUCGAGAUGAGGUCUCUAAUUGUUGAUGUGGAGAACUGCUUGCAGGCAUUUGUCGGUGUAGCUCACAAUCUAAAUGCCAUAAUAGUUGCAAUCAGAGGGACUCAAGAGAACAGUGUGCAGAAUUGGAUCAAGGACUUGGUAUGGAAGCAGCUUGAUCUAAGCUAUCCAGACAUGCCAAAUGCAAAGGUGCACAGUGGAUUUUUCUCCUCCUAUAAUAAUACAAUUUUGCGUCUAGCUAUCACAAGUGCUGUGCACAAGGCAAGAAAGAAAUAUGGGGAUAUCGGCAUCAUAGUCACAGGGCACUCAAUGGGAGGAGCCAUGGCUGCCUUCUGUGCACUCGAUCUUGCUAUCAAGCUCGGAAGCGACAAUGUUCAACUCAUGACUUUCGGACAGCCUCGUGUCGGCAAUGCUGUUUUCGCCUCCUACUUUGCCAAAUAUGUACCAAACACAAUUCGACUGGUACACGGACAUGAUAUUGUGCCGCAUUUGCCACCUUAUUUCUCCUUUCUUUCCAAACUGACGUACCACCACUUCCCAAGAGAGGUAUGGAUCAACGAAUCUGAUGGCAACACAACGGAACAGAUAUGUGAUGCCAGCGGCGAAGACCCAAACUGCUGCAGGUGCCUCUCCAUAUUGAGCCUGAGCAUUCAGGACCAUUUCACAUACCUGGGAGUAGACAUGGAAUCAGAUGACUGGAGCACCUGCAGAAUCAUCACAGCACAAAGCGUUGAGCGAUUACGUAAGGAUCUCGGCAGCAACAUCAUCAUGACAAAGCACGGCGUCGAGGUCUCCAUUGUCGAGAAUAGCAUGCAGACAGACUGGAGCAGUUCCAGAUAG